rnacentral:rRNA from 1 species
AACGAACGCUGGCGGCGCGCCUAACACAUGCAAGUCGAACGAGAAUCCGGGGCAACCCGGUAGUAAAGUGGCAAACGGGUGAGGAAUACAUGGGUAACCUACCCUUGAGAAGGGAAUAACCCGCCGAAAGGUGAGCUAAUACCCUAUACGCUAUCUUUUUUUCGAAAAGGAUAGGAAAGCCGGGUCGAGGACCUGGUACUCAAGGAGGGGCUCAUGUCCUAUCAGCUUGUUGGUGGGGUAACGGCCUACCAAGGCUACGACGGGUAGCUGGUCUGAGAGGAUGAUCAGCCACACUGGCACUGAGAUACGGGCCAGACUCCUACGGGAGGCAGCAGUGAGGAAUAUUGCGCAAUGGGGCGAAAGCCUGACGCAGCGACGCCGCGUGGGGGAUGAAGGUUUUCGGAUUGUAAACCCUUUCAUGAGGAAAGAUAAAGUGGGUAACCACUUAGACGGUACCUCAAGAAGAAGCCACGGCUAACUUCGUG